CUAACAUACCUGCUCCUCAGUACUUUCCUGUAGCCAUCCGGCCUUGCUCCAUCACAGUUGGUAAUAGCAACUAUAUAUUUUUGUGUGUCACUACACUAACACCUAUCUUGGCCAAAAUCUCAUUUUUCAUUAAUUGCAACAAAUUCAUCUAAACUUAUGAAACAGUAAUGGAUCUGAAUCCAAAACACACCCUGUGAGAACUGAUAGUAUAAAAGAACAGAAAAUCUAUAAACACCCAAGACCAGCCCAGAAAAACUGUGAAAUAGUGGUGGUAGACACAACACCAAAGCAGUCCUUUCCCUACUGACUUCCCGCUCCCUACAAAAUCUCUCUACUGCAGAAUUCCUCUUACAGAAAAUUGCCCAGCAUGCCUUUCUGGGCAAGGCCUUUUCAGUUUGGUGGAGUGAAAGAGCUCAUGACCUAAAGUGGCCAUUUUACAAAUGACAGCUUCUAGCUGCAUCUUUCUAUCUUCCAGCUGAUGUCUCUUGCUACAUAGAGUUUAAGGGUAUGUCUACACUACCUACCGGAUCGGCAGGCAGCAAUCGAUCCAGCGGGGAUAGACGCGAUAAAUCGAUCCCUGAGUGUUCUCCCGUCG